UACGAAGGGAGCUAGCGUUGUUCGGAAUCACUGGGCGUAAAGCGCACGUAGGCGGAUGUGUCAGUCAGGGGUGAAAUCCCGGAGCUCAACUUCGGAACUGCCUCUGAUACAGCACGUCUUGAGUCCGAUAGAGGUGGGUGGAAUUCCUAGUGUAGAGGUGAAAUUCGUAGAUAUUAGGAAGAACACCGGUGGCGAAGGCGGCCCACUGGAUCGGUACUGACGCUGAGGUGCGAAAGCGUGGGGGAGCAAACAGG
rnacentral:rRNA from 1 species